GUGCUCACUUUGGCAGGACAUAACCUAAAAUUGGAACCAUAUAGAGAAGAUUGACAUGGCCCCUGCAAAAGGAUGGCACACAAAUUCCUGAAGUCAUCCAUUUUUAA
ensembl:snRNA U6 U6 spliceosomal RNA